rnacentral:rRNA from 1 species
UGACGAGUUUGAUCCUGGCUCAGAUUGAACGCUGGCGGCAUGCUUUACACAUGCAAGUCGAACGGUAACAGGUUAAGCUGACGAGUGGCGAACGGGUGAGUAAUGCAUCGGAACGUGCCCGAUCGUGGGGGAUAACGCAGCGAAAGCUGCGCUAAUACCGCAUAAGAUCUGAGGAUGAAAGCGGGGGACUUUGCAGCAAUGCAAAGCCUCGCGCGAUCGGAGCGGCCGAUGUCAGAUUAGGUAGUUGGUGGGGUAAAGGCUCACCAAGCCGACGAUCUGUAGCUGGUCUGAGAGGACGACCAGCCACGACUGGGGACUGAGACCACGGCCCAGACUCCGUACGGGAGCAGCAGUGGGGGAAUAUUGGGCAA